CAGCCGCCACGGUAAUACGUAGGUGGCGAGCGUUGUCCGGAAUCAUUGGGCGUAAAGGGAGCGCAGGCGGGCAUGUAAGUCUUUCUUAAAAGUUCGGGGCUCAACCCCGUGAUGGGAAAGAAACUACAUGUCUUGAGUACAGGAGAGGAAAGCGGAAUUCCCAGUGUAGCGGUGAAAUGCGUAGAUAUUGGGAGGAACACCAGUGGCGAAGGCGGCUUUCUGGACUGCAACUGACGCUGAGGCUCGAAAGCCAGGGGAGCGAACGGGAUUAGAUACCCGUGUAGUCCCUGUCUCUUAUACA
rnacentral:rRNA from 1 species